CAUUCUUAUCUUCCACCAGAAGGGAUGAAAACAGCCCCUCAUUUUCCAUUGACUUCUCUAUCUCUGUCUCGCAACUAGCCACACCACCGAUUCACUCAAAAUUCCAAAAACACUUUAUUUUUUUCCUUUUCUUUUUCUCCCUUCUCGCCCUUACCUCUCGCAGUUCACUCCACGACUCACCACUGUGGCCGGCACGAGUUCGUCAUUUCCGGUGACUACAAACGAACUCAAAACAAACCCUCUCUCACAUUCAAUCCAACUCUCAAAUCUAUUUCUAGAAAUUCUGUGCCGUUUUCGAUUAUUAAGUUGGUGCCUGAAGUCCAACGAGCUGCUUCCAGCCGAACGCUAGCGAUCGGACCUUGCUGUUACUACCAGUCGGUUAACCUUUGUCUCAGAAACCAAAAUCAUCCGUUGCAUGCCUCGAUUCGUUACGGUUUAAGGUGAAUUGGAGAGUAGCCUCCAAAAGCCUGAGGAUUCAGUUCGAGAAGCUCCAUAAGUAUGUUUAUUUUCUCAAAUAUUAAAUUGGAAAAAUCCAUUGUUUAAAGAAUUUACUUUAUGAAUUAUUCAAGAACAAGUCACAGAAGCAUUUACUUGCUAAUGAAAUUAGUUUCUAAUCUAAACCUCAAGGGGACUCAAACCUGGAGUUGUUCCCUUCUUGCUAUGAUCUUUAAAGCUAGGAAGUAGGACUCUUUGUAGCAUGAAUUGGAUAGUCGUAUACAAGUUUUUGAGAAAAUGGUAUUGAGAAACUGAUAAUUUGGGAGUGAGUAAUCAUAGGCCGAAAACAAACUGGAAUCGUUGUUUCUGACAACACUUCUUUAUUUCAAUUCCAGGUCUUUCCUAGCUUAGAAUAUUUCUUAAGAACCAAAAUGUAGUUUUCAUUUUUAGAAUAUUGUCAUUUAGUUUGCUGAAAAUAUUUAGGGACCUAAGUUUAUAUGCUGCUCCCACCACUGUGAUGCAGAGCUGAUCAAAUCUUAUGACUAAUUAAACUAUUGUUUAGUUGCAAAUAUAUCUUUUACUUUCAAUUGGCUUUUGCAGUACAUUGGGGACCAAGCUGAAUUUGAUAUCAUUAAGCUCAAGACAAGAAUUAGUCCAUUUCCAUCUCAAAAAGCAGUAGAUGACUAUUAAACCAAUGCAUCAGGUUUGUCGAAAACUUGCUCAAAGAGCAAACUGUCAGUGUGGUUUGAGCUGGUUGUAAAUAAUACUUUAUCGUUCUUGGUCAGAUUGUAAAUAACACUUUAAAAUCUCUCGUAGCGUAAACAUUUUAUAUGUAAAAUAAUAUUACCUUAAACGGUCUUAAAACCUGCAGCAUCGUGCGGGGGCUCAAUUGCUAGUGUCUUCUAUUACGUGGAAACGUUCAUGUGAGAAAUAUAGUGUAAACAAGUCUUGUGGAUACAAUGAA